rnacentral:lncRNA from 1 species
GUUUCCUAGGGUGUGUUUCGGAGUCUGGAGGACCCCUGAUUCCAGACGUUGGUGUUUAAAAGUUAAGGCGAAUGUGGAAACACCCGAGGGGAACUUUCUCAUGCAUUAGCGCACCUCGAGGUGGGAGGGGAAGCGGUGACUGUCCUCCCUCCACCAGCCGUCGCGGGAACCCGUGGGGUUCAGUGAAGGGUCCAGCAGUUCAGGUGCCCGCCCCGGGCCUGGGCCUUGGCUCCGGGCUACAGUGUGAGAUCCCGGGCUAGGUGGCCCGCCUGGGGCAGGUCGCCGGGACAACCCCACCGCCCCGCAAGUCCAGCCCGGCCUCGGGCACGGUAGGGUUUGCGGUUAAGCUUGUGACCUUUAGACUUCUGAAUAUUCAUAUGUAUGAAAUGUGAUAUACAUAAAAGUGUGCAUAUCAGGAAUUUACAGUGAUUAAUGACCAGAGUGAACACAGCUGCGUAGCCGACACCGGGAUCCAAAACACCGCUAUUCUGAAAGCCUCCCUCUUUCCCAAAAGGCAACCGCGAACUCAACACUACAAAUUCGUUCUGCAAUCCACCCGGAGAUGAUUCUCCUUGAACUUUUAUUGAAGUAUGAUAUACAUAUAGAA